GAGAGACUCCCAAGCCAGGGUGGCAAGAAGCAGGACUUCUCAUUCCUCUUUUUUUAUGUUGCGUGUGGCUCCACAUGCUCCAUUUGUCUAGACCAUUUGUUUGGCCACCUUGGUACUCAAUGAGAGCCUGUCUCGCCAAAGAAAUGACCGAAAUUUUAAGAAGAUCCAUGGGACCAAUGUUAUUCUCCUUUUCUAUUGACUCCAAGCAACAUCACAGCGAGAGCCAAGACUUUCCAAAAGACCUGUACAAGGGAGGCCAGCAUCAUGAAACACAAACUCCCAAACCAGCAUGGUAACACACAGGACUUCUUCUGAUUCUUCUCAUGUUCUUGGGUCUUGCCUGUGGUUCUACACGCAUCCAGAAAUGCAGACAAAGAACAGCUUGGCCUUUAACAGUCGGAAGCCUCUGAUUUUACUCUACUAAGCCUCAGAUACAGUCUGUUUUCUGUUCUCAUUCAUUCAUUCAUUCAUUCAUUCAUUCAUUCAUUUAUUUAUUUAUUAUA